GGAUAUAGCUCAGUUGGUUAGAGCGCCAGGUUGUGGCCCUGGAGGCCGACGGUUCGAAUCCGUUUAUC
rnacentral:tRNA from 1 species